AUUGAACGCUGGCGGCAGGCCUAACACAUGCAAGUCGAACGAGCCGCGGACGGGUGAGAAAUGUCUGGGACACUGCCUGAUGGAGGGGGAUAACUUCUGGAAACGGUAGCUAAUCCCGCAUACCAUCAGAUGUGCCCAUGUGGGAUUAGCUAGUAGGUGGGGUAAUGGCUCAACUAGGCGACGAUCCCUAGCUGGUCUGAGAGUAUGACCAGCCACACUGGAACUGAGACACGGUCCAGACUCCUACGGGAGGCAGCAGUGGUGAAGAUUGCACAAUGGGCGCAAUCCUUAUGCAGCCAUGCCGCGUGUGUGAAGAAGGCCUUCGGGUUGUAAAGUACUUUCAGCGGGGAGGCGUUACCCGCAGAAGAAGCACCGGCUAACUCCGUGCCAGCAGCCGCGGUAAUAC
rnacentral:rRNA from 1 species